rnacentral:rRNA from 1 species
GAUGAACGCUGGCGGCGUGCCUAAUACAUGCAAGUCGAGCGAACAGACGAGGAGCUUGCGCCUCUGACGUUAGCGGAGGACGGGUGAGUAACACGUGGAUACCCUACCUAUAAGUCUGAGAUCACUUCGGGACACCGGAGAUAAUACCGGAUAAUAUAUUGAACCGUGUGGUGCAAUAGUGAAUGUCGGCUUUGCUGUCACUUAUAGAUGGUUCUGGGCCGCUUUAGCUAGUUGGUAAGUUAAAGGCUUACGAAGGCAACGAUGCGUAGCCGAGUGGAGAGGCGGGUCGGCCGCCUGGGAGCUGAGACACGGACCAUGCUCCUACGGUAGGCAGCAGUAGGGAACGUUACGCAGUAGGCGGAAGCCUGACGCAACAGCGCCACGUGAGUUGUAACGAUCCUGGGAUCGUAAAACUCUGUUACGGGGGAAGAACAGAUUUGUAAGGAACUGAGCACGUAGUGACGGUAACUGGUCAAAAAGCAACGGCUAACUACGUG